CCAGACAGCCAGGAUGUUGGCUUAGAAGCAGCCAUCAUUUAAAGAAAGCGUAAUAGCUCACUGGUCGAGUCGGCCUGCGCGGAAGAUGUAACGGGGCUAAACCAUGCACCGAAGCUGCGGCAGCGACACUAUGUGUUGUUGGGUAGGGGAGCGUUCUGUAAGCCUGUGAAGGUGUACUGUGAGGUAUGCUGGAGGUAUCAGAAGUGCGAAUGCUGACAUAAGUAACGAUAAAGCGGGUGAAAAGCCCGCUCGCCGGAAGACCAAGGGUUCCUGUCCAACGUUAAUCGGGGCAGGGUGAGUCGACCCCUAAGGCGAGGCCGAAAGGCGUAGUCGAUGGGAAACAGGUUAAUAUUCCUGUACUUGGUGUUACUGCGAAGGGGGGACGGAGAAGGCUAUGUUGGCCGGGCGACGGUUGUCCCGGUUUAAGCGUGUAGGCUGGUUUUCCAGGCAAAUCCGGAAAAUCAAGGCUGAGGCGUGAUGACGAGGCACUACGGUGCUGAAGCAACAAAUGCCCUGCUUCCAGGAAAAGCCUCUAAGCAUCAGGUAACAUCAAAUCGUACCCCAAACCGACACAGGUGGUCAGGUAGAGAAUACCAAGGCGCUUGAGAGAACUCGGGUGAAGGAACUAGGCAAAAUGGUGCCGUAACUUCGGGAGAAGGCACGCUGAUAUGUAG
rnacentral:rRNA from 1 species